rnacentral:rRNA from 1 species
AUAGCGUAUAUUAAAGUUGUUGCAGUUAAAAAGCUCGUAGUUGAACUUCAGGCCUGGCUGGAUGGUCUACCUCACGGUAUGUACUGUCUGGCUGGGUCUUACCUCUUGGUGAGCCGGCAUGCCCUUUACUGGGUGUGUUGGGGAACCAGGACUUUUACCUUGAGAAAAUUAGAGUGUUCAAAGCAGGCCUAUGCCCGAAUACAUUAGCAUGGAAUAAUAAAAUAGGACGUGCGGUUCUAUUUUGUUGGUUUCUAGAGUCGCCGUAAUGAUUAAUAGGGAUAGUUGGGGGCAUUAGUAUUCAGUUGCUAGAGGUGAAAUUCUUGGAUUUACUGAAGACUAACUAUUG